UUGCAAGUUUUUUGCACAAGGGGUUGUCUAAAAGGGGAGCACUGUGAGUUCUUGCAUGAAUUGAGAGGCCUCAACUACUGGAACUACUGUCAAACAAAGUGCUAAUGACUCUAAAGAUGAGACCAGUUCUGAAGAUGAAAGUUCUGAUGAUUAGCCAUCUAAAGCUGAGGCUGUUAAGAAGUCUUCUACUGGGAAGGAGAGCAGC